CUGCUUGUAAAAAUAAAUCGGAAAAUAAAAUAAAAAAGGGGGUAACCGUUUUCGUUUUUGAGAUACGAGCUGUUGAAGUUAACAGCAUCAUACACCAAAAUUACAAAGGAUAUAUAGGGAAAAUUGUGAAAUUCGGCAGGAAUUGUUACAUUUCCAAGAUUUUCUAUUAUAUUAGACAAUCGAUUUUUUUUUAAUUUAUGAGACGAUUCUAAAAUGUCUGAGGAAUCGAUUGGUGCAAAGAAAGUCCUUAGCAACCGUGCUACUUUUCAAGCUAUACCCUGUUAAAGUUGAAUCUUGAGUGUAAAAAAACAAAAAACAACGACAACGUUAUUGACGUCGCCGCAACAGUUACGACGCUUCAUAUAGUUCUAUACUUGUAUGAAAUAUAUACCGUUUUGUUGGAGUUCGUGUUGCUCGGUCUUUAGUUCUUUAUGUUACGUUUUGUGUUCUAUUGUAUUGUAUUUGUCUUUUAUAUUCGGUGCGUGCGGAGAUCGCCAAGCUAGAAAACGGUUGACAUUUUCUUCAUUAUGAACUAGAACUAUUUUCGACCUUGGUGCCUUAUUUUUUGUUAAAAUCUAAACACUGCGACGUGUUUUCAAAAUCUUUGUUCCCAUAAAACUUCAUUUCAUCAAGGUCUCUUCUCAGAAUAUCAGCCAUCUGUCUGGCACAGGAUAACAAAUCAAUAUUUAAGUAAAUUUAAGUUGUGUGGUAAUUCUUAGUACAUUUGGGUAAAUUAAUCUUAUCUUUGUGCCGCAUAAGCAUCUCUAUAAUUCAACACAUCCCUGAGCCACGACAUUAUAUAUUUUAUGCAUUGCAUGCGCUUCUUUUUAUCACAAUCCAGACCGGCUAGUAACCGUUGUAUAACUUUUACACGUCUGAAGACGAAUAUUUGCGUGAAACAUUUUUGUAUGAUUUUUAUUUCUGGAAAUCAAUCUGAAAUCUACAACAGUCCUUUCCCGAAAGUCGGGCUGGACUUUUACUUUUAUGUGCAUUCGGGAUUUACACAAAUUGUAACCCGAAUAAUUCAGUCGUAUUAUUCAGCGAAUGUACGAAUGCUACAUUUCUCGUGUGGGAGAAAAUCGGACAUGGAAAGGGCUUGAAUUAUUCGAGUUACCCAAAUUGAAACUCGGGAAUAUUUUUUUUCUAGCUGUUCGGAAUUCGCGGAAACAAAUGAUUGUUUUUCGGCAUUACGGUAUUAAUCAAUAUAGAUACCAAUUUUUUCUUUUAACAAAUUCGAAUACCAGUCAGUUUAUAGGACUUCAGUUUGAAAUAGGGGCGCUAAUCCAUUCAUUUUAUCCAAUCAAUUUGGGGGGGGGGGGUCAACAUUGAUAGUCAAAAAGCCUUGAAAUAUUCGAUAAAAAAACGUUGAAUGUAAAUUAUAUGAACUCCAAAGUCUCAUAUUAUAAGACUAGUAAACCACAGGCUUCUCAAUUCUUGUAUGAUCAUGAACUAGGUGAAAACCUAGAGCUGACCGAGUGCGAGAUCCUCAUGGAUAAUCAUCGAGGUCGUUAAACACCCCUUGC
rnacentral:lncRNA from 1 species